AGAGUUUGAUCCUGGCUCAGGAUGNACGCUAGCUACAGGCUUAACACAUGCAAGUCGAGGGGAAACGACACGGUAGCUUGCUACUGUGGGCGUCGACCGGCGCACGGGUGAGUAACGCGUAUCCAACCUGCCCCGAGGUAAGGAAUAAUCCGUAGAAAUGCGGUCUAAUACCUUAUGUGUUCCGAAGAGGACAUCUGAUUUGGAAUAAAGAUUUAUCGCCUUAGGAUGGGGAUGCGUCUGAUUAGAUUGUUGGCGGGGUAACGGCCCACCAAGUCAUCGAUCAGUAGGGGUUCUGAGAGGAAAGUCCCCCACAUUGGAACUGAGCCAGGAUCAAACUCU
rnacentral:rRNA from 1 species